UACAGAGGUCCCGAGCGUUGUUCGGAUUCAUUGGGCGGAAAGGGUGCGUAGGCGGCGGGGCCAGUCUGAUGUGAAAUCCCGGGGCUCAACCCCGGAACUGCAUUGGAUACUGCCUUGCUAGAGUACUGGAGAGGGAACUGGAAUUUACGGUGUAGCAGUGAAAUGCGUAGAGAUCGUAAGGAAGGCCGGUGGCGAAGGCGAGUUCCUGGACAGUUACUGACGCUGAGGCACGAAGGCCAGGGGAGCAAACGGG
rnacentral:rRNA from 1 species